rnacentral:lncRNA from 1 species
UUUUUUUUUUUUUUUGUCUUUUUGCUAUUUCUUGGGCCGCUCCAGCGGCAUAUGGAGGUUCCCAGGCUAGGGGUCGAAUCAGAGCUGUAGCCACCAGCCUACGCCAGAGCCACAGCAAUGAGGGAUCCAAGCCACGUCUGCAACCUACACCACAGCUCACGGCAACGCCGGAUCGGUAACCCACUAAGCAAGGGCAGGGACCGAACCCGCAACCUCAUGGUUCCUAGUCGGAUUCGUUAACCACUGCACCACGACGGGAACUCCUCCUCAACUGCUCUUAAAGAAGACUAAUUCCAUUGCUGUGCCUAUCAACAAUGCAGCAACGUGCCUAUCUUCCCACAUCAUCAUUCAAUGUGGACAUGAUCAGUCUAUUUAUUCAUACUCCAUCUCUUUUAUAGGUAAAAUUUGAUAUCUCAUUUUAAUAUGCAUUUGAAUUAAUUGGUAAGAAGUAAAAUAUUUUUAUUUCACUUAAACUGCUAAUUGACUUUCCUGGUUCAUUUUUCUAUUUGAUUUUCUUGCAUUAUUAAUGAAGACUACAUAUAUCUGUUCGAAAGGAGGAUUGAUGUGAAAUCACUAAAAAGUCCUGUUAAAUGUUAAGUCUUUUCUCAGGAGAAAUAAAUCAUUUAUAGCUGAGGAGUAAAAGAAAGUUCCAAGGGGAGAAGAAAGGCUUCAGCUUGACAAUUACAGCAAGAGAGCGAGCUUUGUCCUUAUUCCUUUCCUAUAAGCAGAGAAAACUCCCUGUGCAUGAAAGCAAGUAUCUUAGCGCAAAAGCAGAAAGCUGAGGAUUAGACUGGGCUCUCAGUUUUCCACUGGGGAAGAAAGCUUGUACCAGAUAUUUCAGGUUGAAGAGAUGUCAGCUCAUUUAUUCAACAGGUAAUUGCUAGUUAACAGGGAUGCUGCUGGAUAAAAGUUAGGACUUAGUCCCCAAAAGCUGAGAAAGACAAUUCGAAUUCUUUCUCUUUUCCCUUUCCUUUAGUAGAAGUUGGGGGAUAGGGGUAGGUGGACUGUGCUAAAUAUGCAGACUUAGAAAUUUGGGGAAACUUGUCAGAGUGGGGAGAGAUAGGAUGCAGAGCUGGUGGACAUGUUUAGGUUAUUAGCAAAGCUAACAAUGGUAAAAUAGUUCCUAAACUAUGAUUGUUUUAUCUAGUUUUUUAAAGUAUUAAUUUUUUAAGCAAAUGUAAUUGAGAAGAGUUCCCGCAUUGUUUUUCUCUUGAUCUGGUUACAUUUUCUUUGAGCUAAACCUCCUUUGUUUUCCUCGCCCCAUUCCAGAGAUGUUGAUGUUUCCAUUCUAGAAGUAGGCAAUUCUAAUAACACUAUUAAAUUACAUAACUAUAUUCAUUUGUCAGGAAAACCAAGAGGUGCUUGCUGCUUUCCAUGCUUGGAAGAAAAAGGCCUAUUUUUGUCUAUUCCUAAAAAUGUAAAAUGUUUGAAAAUGUUUUAUAAAUUGCCAGCUAAAAUAAAUUUCUAAAUCUAAAACUGUGAUUUCAGCAUACCAAACCAAAAGAAUAAACUUAGUCUAAUUCUCCACUUUUAGAGAGAAGGAAGCAAGACACCAAAGAUUUAAAGCUCUUUCCCAUAUAAAAACAUCCUCUCCUUUCUUUCAAACCCUUCAUUUAUAUAAGAAAAGAUUGAAGUAAAGAGAAAAAUAAGUUAUGGGAAAUUAGUACUGAGUUUGUGUGGCAUAUGUAUUUUGACUGGGCAUGUGAAAGUUUUAUCAGCAGCUACAGAAACUGUUUCCUCUUUUCUUAAAGCCACUCCUGUGUCAGUUUCUCUUCCCUUGAAUCAUUCCCCCACUUUCCAGGACUGUUCAGCCCCUCUCACAUCCCACAGUACACCCUUGUGAGCUAGGGACCUAUUUGGGUGGUAGUUGCUCUCAUUUCAAACAAAGGAAGUUAAAAAGGACUCGACUCGCAGAAAGAGGAGAGAUCUUGCCUUGUGGUUUGGGAGCUCUGCCAGACUGUUUAGCUUCUUGACUUUGAAGUUUUCACUAAUGAAAGAAAUACUUGUUAAAUAAUAGAAAUGUUUCUUGGCCUGCUACAGUUUCUCAAGGGAUAAUCUGCAGAGAGAAGUAAAAGUUCACGAUAAUGUCAGAUUGAACAAGUUUUGGAGAAUAGGAAACGUUCCUUUUAUUUUUAUACAAUAAAAAAUUGGGUGCCUAAUGUGGUAUAAUGCAAGAGCAUGGGGAUUGGACACUGACCUAGGUUGACCACUUACUGCUACUUACAAGUUGCGGGCUGUCUGCAAGGUGGUGUAUGCACAUCGUGAUACCUACCUCAGGUUUUUAUGAGGACUGCAUAUUUUAUUCAUUUAUUUUUCUUUUUAGGGCUGCAUCUGUGGCAUAUGGAAGUUCCCAGACUAGGGGUCAAAUUGGAGCUGCAGAUGCCGGCCUACACCACAGCCACAGCAACACCAAAUCCGAGCUGCCUCUGAGACCUACCCCACAGCUUUCAGCAAUGCUGGAUCCUUAACUUGCAGCUAGGGAUGGAACCCACAUCCUCAUGGAUACUAUGUUGGGUUCUUAACCCGCUGAGCCGCAACGGCAACCCCGAGGAGUGCAUCUUUUAAAAAUUAGUGCAAAAUAUCUGAAUUAGCAGGUACUCCCCUGUUUGUGCCGAAACUCAAAUAACCAAAUUUCAAAUGACUGGAAUUUUGGCAAGUCUUUAUGCAAGUAAUUAUCACUCCUAAACAAAAUUCAGAGACUUUCACAAUUACAAAAUACUCUUUCCUGAUUAUUCAAAGCCAUAUUUGACUAACACAGAACAACUGAGUCAAGGCAGACCCAGUGAGGCAGAGUGACUUGCCUACGAUCAUCAGCUAGAUAGUAAAGUUUGUCUUGAAAUUGAGUUUUCUUGGUAUUCAGAAUACCAAAAGCUGUUUUUCAAGGACAGUAUGCAGUAGUCCUUUCCACUUUUUCAAAUUUAAAAUAACCAUUGUAUAUAAUUUUUAUUUAUCUAUUUAUUUUUGUGACAUGGCCACACCCAUAUAAUGUGGAAGUUCCCAGGCCAGGGAUCGAACCUGUGCCACGGCAGUGAUUCAAGCCACAGCCCUGACAACACUGGAUCUUAACCUGCUGAGUCACCAGGGAACUCCUGCUUUUAAAUAAUUUUUAAUGCCACUGACAACCUCCAUUUUACCUCUUUCUUCUUAGAACUAUCUUUAGAGUUCGUUGCUAAACAUACAUUUUGACUAAACAUUUCUAUAAAUUGCCUUACAUAAAUUUGUAUCGUAUUAAUCAAAACAGGACCUGUCAACUAAAAAAAAAAAGCACAACAUAAAAGCUAAGAGUUAAGUUUUCUUGGGGGCAAAAUGAGGACUAUAGCCUAGGAGGCAGCAUUUCAAAUAGCUCUGAAAUAUCGCUCCAAAGAUGUAGGUGGAAAUAUUGGUAUAUAUGUGGUUUUGGUGAAGGGGGGAGGUACAUGACACCAAGCACUCAUUUUACAGGUCACUGCUGGUCUCCGAGUGAAUGUUACUGCUAAUCACGAGGAGCAGACGUCACCAUGAAGGAUGUCAGUACUUUGCUAGAUAUGAGGAGAUGCAAGAAUUGGGUUUAUAAAAUCUCAUCCUGAAAAUAUCUAUCUGGAGACCUGUUCUGCCGGUUUUCCCAGAGCACAGAGUGACUCACCCCUGAUCUCCGCCCUGAGCUCCUUUCAGGGGUGUAGAGGGACAGCAGCUGCAGCAGCUCAUGAGUCAAUCUGUGCAGAGGCAGAUGGCAAGUGCCAAUCUCCAGUUCACAGACCUGUUAAUAUGUGCAUAUGAAAAAGAGCUGUGUGCGGAUGUGAGACAUAUUACCUACUUACAUAUAUUUGGAUGCAUUAUGUUCAAAUGCAGACACCCCUUGAAAUAAAAUCAUAUGAUCUGUAUUUGGAAAUCCUGGACAUACAGAUAUUCAUUUUUUUGGUUGUUUGUUUUGUUUUGUUUUUUUAAAAGAAUUUCGUUAAAGGCCAGGAGGGCAGAUUCUUGGAAGAUAUAUGAGGAAGGCAGCUGGUGUUUAUUUUGCUCCAUUUCCCCUUUCCUCCUGUCUUGCUCUGGGGAAACCUCCCACAUUUGAAGGCUCUCUUGCUAGGCUGUUUUCUCUGAGCUUUACCCAAAUCUGAAUCCUUUUUCCCCCUUUUUCUAGUAUCACUAAGAGGCUAUGUAGGAAAAAUAAUUUUAGCCUGUGGUGAAAUUAGAAGUGAUUUUCAUACUUUGUUAAUGGAGUGAUCAUGAUUUAGGCAGGUUUUGUUGUAGUUCUCAGAAGUGUUUUCAUAUCAACCAGGGGUGAUUCAACUCAGUAACUCUGUAUAGCAAGGUUAUAGCCCCUCCUCCACCCCAGGCCCACCUCUAGGGGUAUGCUUGGGGGGACACAGACAAAUAAAUGAGUUAAAUGAUCCCUCGGUGGAAGCAGCUACAUUAUAAAGCCGUUGUAUAGAGGAAGGAACGAUUAGAGUUGGUAUUAUUAGGAAGGGCUUGGAAUGAAUCAUGCAGGUGAAAUAAAAGCGAAAUUUCAGAUACCACUGAUGAGCUAGUAGGGAAAUUGCUAGCAAGAAGCCAAACUUUGUUCUCUUGGCACAUGGAAACUUCUUACAAACAAAAUACCUCUUUGCCUGAUGUUUUCCAUCUGCUCAAAGAUAUACUCCUUAAGUCACUCAGCCUCUCUCUCUCGCCUCAUACUUCCUUAAUAGGUAAUUCUGUAUAUUAGUUCUACUACCACCCAAUUUAAUAGUAACAAACCUCUACAUUUCUACUGUAGAUCUUACAGCUUAAAAACAUUUUCCCAUGUGAUCCUACUAGCAGCUCUUUAUGCUAAAAACUAUCUUUGUUUUACAAUAGGAAUAUCUAAACCUCAGAGAAAUUCCCGAAAAUAAUAGUAAAUGGAUGCCGAAGUUCAGUCUUCUAAUGCUAGUGUUCUUUCCACAACAAAACAAUGAAACCAUAUUCUUAUGACAUCUCACAAAUUAAGAAAAUCAUACGUGGGUCUGAAUGGAAUAAUAAAUUGCAUAUUUUUCAACUUUCUACCUUUUUUUUUCUUUUUUCUUUUUCUUUGUCUUUUUUGCCAUUUCUUGGGCCAUUCCCACAGCAUAUGGAGGUUCCCAGGCUAGGGGUUGAAUUGGAGCUGUAGCCACCGGCCUAUGCCAGAGCCACAGCAACUCCGGAUACUUAACCCACUGAGCAAGGGCAGGGAUCGAACCCUGAACCUCAUGGUUCCUAGUCGGAUUCGUUAACCACUGAGCCGCGACGGGAACUCCACAGCCUUUUUUUUGUUUCAGAAAUAGUCUGUGGAAUUAAUAUGUAAAUAGGAAAAAAAUACUUGAAUUUUAUUUUAAAAUCUAUUUAUAGAGGUCUUUCUGCACACAGAUUAUGUGUUAGAUCACUUGAAUUGAUUAAUUUAAAUAUAUACAAUCGAGAUUAUAACUAGAAAAACUGCUUCAAAUAAAGUGAUUUGAGUUUGAUUUUGUUCACUAAGUUAUGGGUGCUUCCUCCCAUACACACUUACAGAAUAAUAACAUGACAGAAUUUAAAGCAGACUAGGGAUUAGACAGCAGCUAGUCUUGAACUGUCAUUUAAUAGAAACUGGAGCCCAGAGACGUUAUUACAGCUAUUCAGUGGUCAAAACUUCCUCAGACUGGCUAACAAACACAUACAGGGAGGAAAAAUCUGGGUCAUCACGCAGCCAACCUUCCAUUUUGCACACAACUAUAUGAAAUAUAUUAUGUGCUUAUCAUAAUCCUUUCUAAAAUAUUAAGAAGUAUUACAGUUAAAAUCAUAAAAAUAAUAAAAAUAAGGGCUUUGGGGAGACAAUUCUUCAUGGCAUUUUUACAGAGCUUGUAAUAGAUUAUCUUUUCAAGAUUGUUCCCAUGGCAAAAAGCCUUGGAAGCUAGAAACAGUGUCUCCCUAAAUGUCAAAGAACAGAUUUGUUUGCUGACCAGCAUAGUAAAAAUGAGAUGAUUUCCUCUUCUUCCUGGAAACAUUCCAGAUGAUAAAGAUAAUAUCUUUCUUUGGAGGGGAGGCGAGGCUGAUCUACUAGUAACCAUUAUAUGAGACCAGGAUAUCCUCAUCUGAGGGGUCCUAGGUUGUGAUCUAGAUCCAUGGUGUCAGCAGUAUUUACCUGGGCCCACCCUGCAUCAUCCCUGCUUUUUUCUUUUUAGCAUUAUAAAAUAUAUCAUAACAUAAUUUUUCAUAUGAUUAUUAUUAUAUACUCUUCAUAGAUUUUUAUUAGCUGUAUGUAUGUCCUAAUUUGCACACACUAUUUUUGCGUAUCUUUUUUCCUGAUUUUGCUGUUACAUAUGUACUUUAAUAUCAUUGUUUUUCAAUAUUUUUCUACAUGUCAUAUAAUUUUUAGUAAGGCAGAUAUCCAGAUAGGAAAUCAUUGAAUCAAAGUCUAGAAAUAUUUUUUGAGAUUUUAAUUUCAUGUUAUACCAAAAGACUUUCCAAAGAGUCUGAACCAACUUAUGUUCUCACCAGCUAUGUCACAAUCUGUUCUCAUAAGUUUUCAUAUCUUUCACUUCUUCCCCAUCACUCAUCGUGAUAGCUAUUCUGAACUUUUCACACUUCCUCAAAUUCUUCCCGCCUUUCUAUGUUUCCCUUCUACAUAGAAUACUGUUGACAUAUCUAACGCUUAUGCUGCAGAUCUUAGCUUCCAUGUCAUUUUUCUCAGAGAAUUCUUUCCUGUCUCCCAAACUACCAUAUAUUACCACUGCCUCUGAUACUUCCCUUUGUGAUACUUAGCUGGGUGUAACUGUUUAAUAUUUUUGUUCCUGGCUUGAAUUUAAGCUCUAGGAAAGUGAUAGUCUUAUUUGGCAUGUUCUUCACCGAAUCCCUGGUGCUAGAACAGAGCUUGAUACAAAGUCAGCGCCUAAUAAAUAUCUCUUAAAUCAAUUUAUAUUUUUCAAUGUUUAUAAAAAAUCCAGCAAGGGAGUUCCCGCUGUGGCGCAACAGGAUCAGCAGUGUCUCUGCAAUGGCAGGACACAGGUUCAAACCCCAGCCAUCGCAGUGGGUUAAAGGAUCUCAUGUGGCCGCAGCUGUGGGGUAGGUGGUAACUGCGGUUAGGAUCUGAGCCAUGGUCUGGGAACUCCAUAUCCUAUGGAGUGGC